GAGUCGGACCUGCCCGGUGACCUAAGGGUUAAACGGCCGCGGUACACUGACCGUGCAAAGGUAGCACAAUCACUUGCCUUUUAAUUGGAGGCUGGUAUGAAUGGUUUGACGAGGGCUGAGCUGUCUCUUCUGGAAUAUUUAAAAAUUAACUUCUAAGUGAAAAGGCUUAGAUUUAGCUGAGGGACGAGAAGACCCCGUUGAGCUUUAGUGUGGGGUAAAAGGCUUUGUCCCUACUUUAGGUAGAGGGCUAGAAUUUAUUUUUACAUCUUUAGUUGGGGUGACUGGGGAACAAUGAGUAGCUUCUCUGUUUUUAUUGAGUUUAAUUCGGUUUACUGACUGAUGAUCCGGCAUUGUUGAUUAUCGGAAAAAGUUACCACGGGGAUAACAGCGUAAUCUUUCUGGAGAGUUCACAUUGAAAGGAGGGUUUGCGACCUCGAUGUUGGAUUAAGGUGUCCUGAGGGUGUAGCAGCUUUCGUUGGUU
rnacentral:rRNA from 1 species